rnacentral:rRNA from 1 species
AGCGAACGUUAGCGGCGGGCCUAACACAUGCAAGUCGAACGAGAAUGUAGACUUCGGUCUACUAGUAAAGUGGCGGACGGGUGCGUAACACGUGGGUAAUCUACCUUCCGGCGGGGGACAACAGUCCGAAAGGAUUGCUAAUACCGCAUACGUCAGCGGCGCCUACGGGCGCUGUUGGGAAAGAUGGCCUCUCCUUGGAAGCUGUCCCCGGAAGAUGAGCCCGCGUCCCAUCAGCUAGUUGGUGAGGUAAUGGCUCACCAAGGCUAAGACGGGUAGCUGGUCUGAGAGGAUGAUCAGCCACACUGGGACUGCGACACGGCCCAGACUCCUACGGGAGGCAGCAGUGGGGAAUAUUGGGCAAUGGGCGAAAGCCUGACCCAGCCACGCCGCGUGAGUGAUGAAGGCCUUCGGGUCGUAAAGCUCUGUGGGGAGGGACGAACAAAUCUGGGGCUAAUCGCCCGGAUCCUGACGGUACCUCCUUAGCAAGCACCGGCUAACCCUGUGCCAGCCGCCGCGGUAAUAC